rnacentral:lncRNA from 1 species
GGGGGAGCGAGGAAAGCGGAAUCUCGCUGACCUUUGGGAGGAUACUGUCUACCUUGUCACUGGAUUGAAUGCUGACAGUCACACUUUUAAGAUUCAGAACAGCUCCACUGGACAGGAGAAGACGGUACAUCGCAACCUGAUAAUGCCAGUCAACUUUCUUCCUCUUCCAAACUAGGCUGCCGUUGAUGAGGGAACAGACAUGUCUGGAUUAACUUCUAUGGGCUAGGUGGGACGUUAGCGUCCCACUCUAUUCAACAGCCAGUGGAAUCGUGUGGCGCGAAAAACAAAUACCUCAAAAAUGCAAUAAUUUCAAUAUUUCAAACAUACGACUAUUUUACACCAUUUGAAAGAUAAGACUCUCGUUAAUCUAACCACAUUGUCUGAUUUCCAAAAGGCUUUACAGCGAAAGCAAAACAUUAGAUUAUGUUAGGAGAGUACAUAGACACAAAUAACCACACACCCAUUUUUCAAGCAAGCAUAUAUGUCACAAAAACCAAAAACACAGUUAAAUACAGCACUAACCUUUGAUGAUCUUCAUCAGAUGACACUCCUAGGACAUUAUGUUAUACAAUACAUGCAUGUUUUGUUCAAUCAAGUUCAUAUUUAUAUCAAAAAACAGCUAGCAAGCGUCCCACCUAGCCCAUAGAGGUUAACAGAGUCUGAGGACAUGAAUGACAGCCUUGUGGAUUCAGCUGCCAUGGACACUGCAGUGGAUGAUGAUGCUGAGUAGAGAACAAGAGUGUGGGUGUCAGAGUUGCCUUCUGAAGGAACAGGUGACACAAGCCUGGAGGGUGAUGUGCGAUCCUUGGAUGCUCAGGAUAUUCCACCUUUGGAUUCUGUGGAAGACACACUGCAGCUGGAAGGUCUGCCUCGAUCAGAGAGUCUUCAAGAAUCUGACCGAGACCGUAACAGUGUAGUGAGUGAGCUAAUUGACCAGUCUGCUUACGAUAUCCGUACUGACCUACCAAACUCGGACCAUUCCUUACCUGAUCAGUUACGCACUGCCUGUGUUGACAGACCCACUAUCGCAACAGUACACAACACUGUUACCCCUUAUGCAGUUGAAGGUACUCGGGGUUGUAUUAGGUCAAGGGCAGGAAGACUAUUUAGACCAGUGUCUAGACUGAUUGAGAUUAUGAAUCAGCAGAAAGUUAGCUCUUGAAGGUUAAUAUUUGAAUAGAGAGGGUCAAUGGUAUUGACAUCUUUUAUUUGUUUUGUUUUUACAUCAUCGUGACCAUGAUUAGAGAUGGCAGGAUGGUAAUGUGACGGAUAUGAUAAAGCCUCACAUGGUAGUUUAUUUUAUUACUUGGAUGUUUUAAAGUCGCUGAGUGUACUUAACAUGUAACAGUCAUCUUUACCUAUGAGAGCUAAGGGGAUUGAUCAACCACUUUUCACUCUAAUUCUCAAGGAGAAUAGUGUAAUGACUGGAGUAUUUAGUGACUGUUUUAAAGCAGGGUCUGCAUCCUCGAUAUACACAGCUUUACCAUUUAGUUUUCUCUAUUGGGUAGUAUAAAAACAUAUCUAUUUUUUUUUUUCUUCUCUGUGGAUUAUUCUGUACAUAUGUUGAGUGUAUCUGUACCUGGUGUGUUUGCACAGUGUGGUUUUGUAUUUGUAUUAUUUUUCUUUGCAAGUGGAAUUCAGUAGGGGGGAGUGUAACAGGGUUAUAUUGGUGAUUCCCCUUGCCACUUUAUUGUUAAGCCAAUGGGUUUUUGGUUUUAUUUUGUCUUGCCUUCACCUACUCAACAUGGCAUCUUAUUGGCUGGUUUGCGUAGCUUGCUUACGAGGGAGGAUGUUUCAGUUAGAAUCGUCCCAGUGAACAAGCACCAAACCAGCGCAGGUUCUGAGGCUCAUUCGAAUGAAGGAAAGUGGUGCUGUGGAACCGCGGUGGCCCUAAGAAAACACUCAUCCUAUACAGAGGCAGUCUGUCGAGUAAGGAGGACAAGCCAUGUCUGCCACUAUAAGCAGCUUUCCUAAUAACAGUACUUUCUAACACUCAGACAUGGGUCUCAAUAACAAAGAUCUGUGCAUAUGGAGCAUGGCCAUGGUCCUAAUAGUGGUUUUGCUGUCACUUAUCUAUGGCUUGUGUUACUUCUAUGGGCUAUGUGCAAGGAAGAUAAGAUACAGCAGCCUGCCUUUGAUUUCGGUGUGAUUCUAUUAUGUGCAUCAUGUCAUGUUACUCAGUUUACCUGCUAAUAAACAGUGACAUGUGGUUUUGUGGUAGUGAUCUUUAUUGGUCAGCCAAACAAACAACACAUGAACUAUACAAUGAAAUAGGACAUGUGUCUAGAUAGUAUAUUAUAUUAUAUUAGUUACACAGCUGAAGUGAUGAAGUGUGUUGCCUGGAGAUGACCUAAUGUCACAUGUUGCAGAAGGGCUCCUCUGUCAUUCUAGCUGGGUCCCGGUGUCACAGGCCCGUUGCGGAUCUGUUCUGGUUCUAUUCAGAUGUAGAGGAUGAGUAAGAAACAAACAGUAGAACCCAGUUUUAUGUUUCUGAUGUAGUUGUAGAUGUAGCAAGGCUAUGGUUUAUAUAUAUAUACGGACUGGAGAGGUAGUUACCUUGUUCCACAACGCUAAUCACAGAAGCCUCUGAGGCCUCCACGACAUUACCGUCACACCAACAGUUCCCAUUGUAGCUCAUCCCGUCACAGGAGCACGUUGUGGGCACAUACACGGUGUCAUACUGUAGCGAAUGAACACGCGAACAUGGUGUGUAAAUAAAGGACGAUGGAUGGCCUUCUGCUACAGGUCCUGUGAGUUAUCAGAAUCGCCAACCCAAAAACAAUCAUCAACGGAGCCCCUAUCAAGGACAUGUUCAGCCAAUCGUCCUUGUUGCUAAUCCACC